UACGGAGGGUGCAAGCAUUGAUCGGAAUUACUGGGCGUAAAGGGCGCGUAGGCGGCCUGAAAAGUCGAUUGUGAAAUUCCGGGGCUCAACCCCGGAACUGCGAUUGAAACUUUCAGACUAGAGGAUAGUAAGGGAAAACGGAAUUCCACGUGUAGCGGUGAAAUGCGUAGAUAUGUGGAAGAACACCGGUGGUGAAGACGGUUUUCUGUCCUAUUCCUGACGCUGAGGCGCGAAAGCUAGGGGAGCAAACAGG
rnacentral:rRNA from 1 species